rnacentral:tRNA from 1 species
GCCUGUGUUGCUAAGUGGUUAGAGCAUUGACCCAUGCACCUCAGGGUUGCAGGUUCAAUUCCUGGUCAAGGGCA